UACGUAGGGUGCGAGCGUUGUCCGGAAUUAUUGGGCGUAAAGGGCUCGUAGGCGGUCUGUUGCGUCAGGAGUGAAAACUCGGGGCUUAACCCCGAGCCUGCUUCUGAUACGGGCAGACUAGAGGUAUGCAGGGGAGAACGGAAUUCCUGGUGUAGCGGUGAAAUGCGCAGAUAUCAGGAGGAACACCGGUGGCGAAGGCGACAUCCUGGACCACGACUGACGCUGAGGAGCGAAAGCCAGGGGAGCAAACGGG
rnacentral:rRNA from 1 species